AGAAUCAACGCUGGCGGCGUGCCUAACACAUGCAAGUCGAACGAGAAAGGGGAGCAAUCCCUGAGUACAGUGGCGACCGGGUGAGUAACACGUGACCAAUCUACCUUCGAGUGGGGGAUAACUCCGGGAAACCGGGGCUAAUACCGCAUAACAUCUUUGGAAUGCAAAUUCCGUUGAUCAAAGGAGCAAUUCGCUUGAAGAGGAGGUCGCGGCUGAUUAGCUAGUUGGCGGGUAAUGGCCCACCAAGGCGAAGAUCGGUA
rnacentral:rRNA from 1 species